rnacentral:rRNA from 1 species
AGUCGAGCGGAUCGAUGGGAGCUUGCUCCCUGAGAUCAGCGGCGGACGGGUGAGUAACACGUGGGUAACCUGCCUGUAAGACUGGGAUAACUCCGGGAAACCGGGGCUAAUACCGGAUAAUUUAGUUCCUCGCAUGAGGAACUGUUGAAAGGUGGCUUUUCCCUACCACUUACAGAUGGACCCGCGGCGCAUUACCUAGUUGGUGAGGUAACGGCUCACCAAGGCAACGAUGCGUAGCCAACCUGAAAGGGUGAUCGGCCACACUGGGACUGAAACACGGCCCAAACUCCUACGGGAGGCAGCAGUAGGGAAUCUUCCGCAAUGGACAAAAGUCUGACGGACCAACGCCGCGUGAGUGAAAAAGGUUUUCGGAUCGUAAAACUCUGUUGUUAGGGAAAAACAAGUGCCGUUCGAAUAGGGCGGCCCCUUGACGGUACCUAACCAAAAAGCCACGGCUAACUACUUGCCACCAGCCGCGGUAAUACGUAGGUGGCAAGCGUUGUCCGGAAUUAUUGGGCGUAAAGCGCGCGCAGGUGGUUUCUUAAGUCUGAUGUGAAAGCCCACGGCUCAACCGUGAAGGGUCAUUGGAAACUGGGGAAC